GUCUGGCCCAUUGAGUCGAUUCUGUGCGCGGUCCCUUCUCCUUCAUCCAUAUCUCCUUAGGUUCAUUACUUUUGCUAAUCAUGUGGCCUCGUUAGCUCAGUAGGUAGCGCGUCAGUCUCAUAAUCUGAAGGUCAUGAGUUCAACCCUCAUACGGGGCAUGGCACUCUUUUCCCAAACCUCUUCAGUCAAAAUUGGUUUUCGCCACUUGGACAUGAACAUGCGUCUGGCCCAUUGAGUCAAUUCUCCACUUGGCGUUCCCUUCUCCUUCAUCAAUAUUGCCUUACGUUCGCUACUUGUGUUAGGCAUGCGGCCUUGUUAGCGCAGUAGGUAGCGCGUCAGUCUCAUAAUCUGAAGGUCAUGAGUUCAAUCCUCAUAUGGGGCAUGGCACUCUUUUCCCAAACCUGUUCA